rnacentral:rRNA from 1 species
GUAAAGGCAAAAGAGAGCUUGAUUGCAAGACAUACAGGUCGAGCAAGGAUGAAAAUCGGACUUAGUGAUCCGGUGGUUCUGCGUGGAAGGGCCAUCGCUCAACGGAUAAAAGCUACCCUGGGGAUAACAGGCUUAUCUCCCCCAAGAGUCCACAUCGACGGGGAGGUUUGGCACCUCGAUGUCGGCUCAUCACAUCCUGGGGCUGUAGUAGGUCCCAAGGGUUGGGCUGUUCGCCCAUUAAAGUGGUACGCGAGCUGGGUUCAGAACGUCGUGAGACAGUUCGGUCCCUAUCCGUCGCAGGCGUAGGAAAUUUGAGAAG